ensembl:lncRNA
AUGGUGUCACUGUCACUGUCCACUGUCACUGUCCACUGUCACUGUCCACUGUCCACUGUCACUGUCCACUGUCACUGUCCACUUUUCGAGCCCUGGCUGUGCAGGGACGUGUGUGGGGAGCCGUCACUGCUGUGCGGCCCGCGGCCUGCUCUGAGCCACGCCGUCCGUAGAACCCGUGGGUUCUGUGGGAUGCCGAGCUCGGGAGGGAGGGAGCGGUGCCAUUUCCGUGCUCGGAGCCGGGAUUCAGACGUGGCUGCCCUCAGGAGGAGCGGGCAGGCCGCGCUCGGAGCCGAAAGCCCUCAGGCCGCCCCAAAACAGCCCUGCGGGCACUCCCUGAGGGCCUGGCCUCGUCCCUGGCUUCAUCCUGAGCGAGGCCUCCAGAUAAAAUUAAGUUGGAGCAGGGUGAGCUAUAAAGUCAUGGAAAAAGCUAAAAGUCCUGACAGUACCAGAAGUCCUUCUGCCACUUUAGAAGUAACAGGUGUGAUGGUGCUCCAGGGCAGACAGAGCUUUGAAGUGGAGAUGCCUAGACAGUCUUCUGAGUGAG